CUCACCAUUUGAGCAAUGGGGGGACGCAGGAGGAUAGGGUAAGCGCGGUAUUGGAUAUCCGCGUCCAAGCAGUUAGGCUGGGAAAUAGGCAAAUCCGUUUCCCAUAAGGCUGAGCUGUGAUGGCGAGCGAAAUUUAGUAGCGAAGUUCCUGAUUCCACACUGCCAAGAAAAGCCUCUAGCGAGGUGAGAGGUGCCCGUACCGCAAACCGACACAGGUAGGCGAGGAGAGAAUCCUAAGGUGAUCGAGAGAACUCUCGUUAAGGAACUCGGCAAAAUGACCCCGUAACUUCGGGAGAAGGGGUGCUCUGUUAGGGUGCAAGCCCGAGAGAGCCGCAGUGAAUAGGCCCAGGCGACUGUUUAGCAAAAACACAGGUCUCUGCGAAGCCGUAAGGCGAAGUAUAGGGGCUGACGCCUGCCCGGUGCUGGAAGGUUAAGAGGAGCGCUUAGCGUAAGCGAAGGUGCGAAUUGAAGCCCCAGUAAACGGCGGCCGUAACUAUAACGGUCCUAAGGUAGCGAAAUUCCUUGUCGGGUAAGUUCCGACCCGCACGAAAGGCGCAACGAUCUGGGCACUGUCUCAACGAGAGACUCGGUGAAAUUAUAGUACCUGUGAAGAUGCAGGUUACCCGCGACAGGACGGAAAGACCCCGUGGAGCUUUACUGCAGCCUGAUAUUGAAUGUUGGUACAGCUUGUACAGGAUAGGUAGGAGCCUUGGAAACCGGAGCGC
rnacentral:rRNA from 1 species